ACUCCUACGGGAGGCAGCAGUGGGGAAUAUUGCACAAUGGGCGCAAGCCUGAUGCAGCCAUGCCGCGUGUAUGAAGAAGGCCUUCGGGUUGUAAAGUACUUUCAGCAGUGAGGAAGGUGGGUAUGUUAAUAGCAUAUUCAUUUGACGUUAGCUGCAGAAGAAGCACCGGCUAACUCCGUGCCAGCAGCCGCGGUAAUACGGAGGGUGCGAGCGUUAAUCGGAAUUACUGGGCGUAAAGCGCAUGCAGGUGGUUUGUUAAGUCAGAUGUGAAAGCCCGGGGCUCAACCUCGGAAUUGCAUUUGAAACUGGCAAACUAGAGUACUGUAGAGGGGGGUAGAAUUUCAGGUGUAGCGGUGAAAUGCGUAGAGAUCUGAAGGAAUACCGGUGGCGAAGGCGGCCCCCUGGACAGAUACUGACACUCAGAUGCGAAAGCGUGGGGAGCAAACAGGAUUAGAUACCCUGGUAGGCUACUGC
rnacentral:rRNA from 1 species